ACCAUAAUACUCAGCUCUUCUUCCUGAAAUUAAAACCACAACACACUCUCUCCUCUUCAUAAUCCUUAUUCCCUCACUUAUCACUGAAUCAAAUAUGAAUCAAUCUUCAGUCGUAGUGGAAAAGCCACAGGGGCCCUACACAAGUCCGCCGCCGAUUGGUUAUCCGACCAGGGAUGCGGCUGCUGGUGAUCCUGUGGUAGCCGCAGUGGAAACGAAGUCCAAAGGCGAUGGAUUUUGGUCAUGUCUUGGCAAGUGCUGCUGUUGUUGCCUGCGACUCUUAGCGGCAUCACCAUAAUGAGACUUCGGAGUUAACGGUUUCAUGCAAAUCAUUGGUGUUACAAAAAGAAAAUAUAUAUUUGAUGAUAAUUGUGUUAAUUACGCUUUAUGUGAUGUACUCCACGGAUGGUUGUCGUUGUUGUGCUUUAUAUUCAGUGAUCAUAUAUAUAUAUAUAUAUAUAUAUAAGUGAAUUUGGUGUGUCGAAAUGCUAUCUGAAACACCUGUCCUGUCCCUAGAUCUUCAUAACACGUUAAUAUUAUUCAACUCAA